UUGUGAGGAAUAUCCCUGAAAUCUUGGUCUGUUCCUCAAGAACAGAGUGCAACAAGAGGAGCAAGGGCCCUGGGCACAGCCCUGUGGCUGUGGGGUCCCAGAGGUUGUGGUGUCCCCAGCCCUGCACAAAGACAGUAUCUGAAAUAAUCUGAAAUGUGGCAUAAGCAACCCGUGGGUGAAGGGCAUAUGGAAAUACAGCAGGAGACGUUUUCUAAUUGCAGAAGCAACCAACAUUAAAAAAGACCAUAAAGCAGAGAUUUGCAAGAAUGUGUAGCUUAAAAAUUCAGCAUGAAUUGGCAGUGGGGGUCCAUGACUAAUCGCAGAGGUCCAUUGUGUGAUCAAGUUUAAACUCUUGUUUAAUGAAAGUACUUCUCUGAAUAAGUUGCAUUGAAAGUACAGUAAAUAUCUCUGAAUAAAAUGUCCAGCCUUAAUAUACAACAUUUUAAAUGACAGAGAAAUCACCCCAACCUUUGGUAAAUAGUUCGAACACAUAAUUACGCUCUCUGUUUAAAACUGUCAUAGAAUUUCUAGCACAAAUUAAUCGGGGUGGAGUGUCUAAUUGCUGGUAACUGGAUCGGUUACAGUGUUGUGUGCCAAACUGGCAAGCUCUUAUUAUCAUAUUUCUUCUUGAUUAAGCCUUUGCAGGAAAGGAAUUGUGAUUUCCCUCACUGAGGGUCCACAGUGGCUCUGGGCCAGCCUGUGCUCCAGGGACGGUGUGGGGUGUGGAAACACUUGGGAGAUGGAGUCCCAGUGUGCUUCUGCUGCCAAGCUGGGAUGGGGAACCUUGUUCUCAGCAGGCUGUGGUGCCUUUUGGCACUGGGGGCAUUGUUGCUGGCUCUUGGCCUCAGGCUGCUCCCCCCUCAGCUCCACGCAGUCAGAGCCUGCCAUGGGAUAGCGGCUCUGGCUGGCAGGGUGCUGCCUGCCUGCUGGCCUCGGGGAGACCCACAGGAACAAUUUGGAAACCUGUUUAGCAGAGUUACAUUUGACAGCAAAGUAAAGUGGAAGCUCUGGGAGGCUGGGUCUGUGUUUCCUGCAGUGUUUUCCCAAGAGUCCCGUGCUAUGGCAACCAAAGGAGCUGCACCCUCUGGAGCUGGAGUGGGGCAGAGGGUGGAAGGAGUCCACGACUGCUGUCAGGGACCAGCCCUGCUGCAGCCGGCGCCCUGCCAGCGCGGGUGUUUAUCCAGCACUGCGGUGAGUCACGGGUGCCAUGCUCCACCAAAGCCACCUCCAGCAACCUCCCCAUGAGUCACUGCAGCCUGAGAGGACUUGCAACAAUUCCUGGGCCAUCAGAAGGAUGAUCUCAUUGCCUGCUGAGUGGAAUAAGGAUAAAGUCAUGUGGAACUCUGCUCUUGGAGCCAGGAACAUGGCAUCCCAGCAAAGAGCUUUCAGGUGACCUAAUCGGGCAUGUGAUUCAGCGUUACAGGACCAAACAGGGCAAAAAUCCUUCUCGCAGGGAAGGAAGGAAGGAAGGAAGGUACUGCAAUAUACAAGGAAUUAAUUUAAGGUGACUUUCAUAACAAAACUUGUAAGGCAAGAAGGAAUGAUAUGGCACAGGAUCUAUAAAGGACUUAAUUUUAAGCAAUUCCCUUUGCGUUGACUGUGUUUAUCUUCUUUUUUGAUUUCCAAGUGGUAUUGCCUAUUCCAAGUGAUCACAAUGUGAAGUCUGAUGAUGUAAUCUUUGCACACUGUGUCCAGCCCAUGGAGCUGAGUUACUCUGAUACUGGUUCAAACUUACUUGCCAAACCCAGCUGAAGGAUUUGCUCAAGCUUUUUUCUAGCUGAAAUAAAGUGCUUUUGCCUCUUCUAAAAAAUUAAUUU
ensembl:lncRNA